UACGUAGGGGGCGAGCGUUGUCCGAAGUUACUGGGCGUAAAGCGCGCGUAGGCGGGGGGUUAAGUGAGAGGUGAAAGGCUGGGGCUCAACCUCAGUAGUGCCUCUCAUACUGGCCUUCUUGAGGGCGGUAGGGAGAAGUGGAAUGGCUGGUGUAGCGGUGAAAUGCGUAGAUAUCAGUCGGAACACCGGUGGCGAAGGCGGCUUCUUGGGCCGUUCCUGACGCUGAUGCGCGAAAGCUGGGGGAGCGAACGGGG
rnacentral:rRNA from 1 species